rnacentral:lncRNA from 1 species
GGUGAAAUAACAAAGUGAACAAGAGAGACAUCUAGUGGUAAUGUAGGCAUAAUUGAGAUUUAGUUGUGUGGGAUUAGUGAGUAUAAACCAGUAUCAAUCAUCUGGAAUAGAGGGAAAGUGUGGAUUAUUACAAGUUAAUGGACGAUGCAACGUACGAUUAAUACAUCAAUAUGCGCAUGUCGAAUGUAACAAUGUGCAGCUAUAAUGGGCUGAUGCAGUGUGGGUUAAGAUAAAAGAAAGCACAACAUAUGUAGGCAGCAUGUAUAUGUAUAUCAAAUUUACGAUUAUAGUGUUCAUUCAUGCAUGAUCUUGCUCGUUGUUGUGUGCACCACAAUAGAAAGUGUGACUCUAUAGUAUGAAGUUAUAAAUUCGUAGAUCAUCAAGGUAGCGAGCAUUUAUUUCAUGAAUAGUAGGGAAGAAGGAGUGAGAGAGGUACAAACAAGCUAGUGACAAGUUAGGGCAGCACUAGGCAUCAGACCACUGCUAGUUUUGCUUCUAUCAGACCGAUCGAUAGCCGUACGAUUAGAUGUGUUCCAGUAGUCCGAUCUAGUAUUGGUCUAUUAGCUAGUUUCCUUUGUGAGUUAAAUGCCUGAUUUGUUAAUAACUAUUUCCGUAAAUUAUGCUGCUUCCUACUAAUUGUUUCCAUAAUCUGUGAUUUGUUUCCUAAAUGUGUUUCCAAAUCUUUCUUCCUACAAUUUCAGAUUUGUUUCCCAAAACUGCUUCCUCAAAUGACUACAAAUACCAAAAUUCGUGGAUAUAAUUUUGUUUUAAAAUUGUUACUUCUUACAAGUAAAUCAUGUUAUUAAUUACGAAAUACUAUAAAAGAUGUGUUGCCUUAGUGAUGGUAACAUUGUUUUUAUACCAAAGAAGCGUUCUUUCGUACCGACGGAAGCAUCAUUUUCUAGUGAAUUAAAUUUGCUUCCAUGUACGAAUGAAUUGGCUUCCAUGGUGAAUUGACUUACUACAAUUUUAUUUGAAUUUGUACUUAGGAGGUGGUUUCUUUCACAUCACAAACAAUACAAUCGUGUUUAGGUCAAGUGGAAAAUUGCUUCUAAAGAAGUAAGACAUUUCCAUAGAAAGAAUCAUUAUCAUGCGUAUACUUGCUUCAAAGUUCAAAGACAUGAGGGAUGCAUUUCCAAAAAAAUACAAAUGUGCUCGGUUUGUUUCCAUGGAUAAAAGACUUUGCUUCAAUAGUUUCACGGGAAAACCAUUUUGCUUCCAUGACAAACAAUUGACAUCGAAUCGUUCAUUACAAAUUGGGAAAAAAUUUGUACUAGUUUCCCUACUUGCUUCUGUAUGCGAUGUGACAAUGCGGCCCUCGAGCUAUCCUUUGGCACAGUUCCUUACUCGAGCUGGUCUUUGGUGUAGUUCCUCAAGGCAUACAUUAUCUUGUUGGCGUUCAUGACACACUAUGAGAGCUUGAUAUCGGUUUUCUUCCAAAAUGACUAACUACACAACCUGAAGUGCCGAAAUGAAAAUUAUAGAAGUGAUGAGAUAUAUGAUAAAGUAUGUCUGUUUAAAUAUAAAAUAAAAGAAAAUAGGCAAAGACUGGAAAAAAAUAUACUAAAUAAAAAAAUAGCUGCAGUUUUAUGUGUACAUAAAAAUCAUGGAUGCUCCCAAUGAACUUUACAUCUGUACAUCUAGGAAACAUGGCAAGAGAGUGAAGUUCCAUUACAAGGAAGAAAUAUAUGAACAUAAGACACCUAGGAAGUAUAGAUGCUUGCUAAGGCUAUGCAGAAAUAAUAUGUAAACCAACCAAGCAUGCCAAUAGAUUAAACUCCAACCGUACAUAUGAAUGAUGGUAGAUGCAUCUGUACAUGCAAAUCUAAGCAUGGAAAUAGAUUGAAAUUCCAUCGCCUGUAGGAAGCACGAAUGCUUGAAGCAAAAACCAAUUGUUAUAAAUGUAUAAAGAAGAUGUAUUGGAAGCACAAGAUAUUGAAGAAGGAAAAUAGCAUGCUUGACACUAAUAUCCGGGUGCAUAUAUAAUCUACAAGCGGAUUGCAUCUACUUUAAUUGGACGUUUUGUGAGCUUACAUCAAAUAAAAUUCUGCAAAUACAUAUAAUAAAAACAGAUUCACACAGAAUCCACCACUGAUGAUUCUGCAAUCACAUGUUAUAUCCUUGGAGAAGGCCUACACAUAUGUCUCAUCAGCGACGACGCUGCAGCUAGGUACGGAUGUGAUCAAGUACACAUCAUUUAGAACAUAUGGACACCCAACAAAUUCAACGAACCAAGAUAUGAACACAUAUUUCAAAGAAUCCUCAGGACAUAAGUUGCAUAAAUCAACUCCCAUUGUAGAAAUUAAAAAAUGAAUCAAGAUGAGAGUAAUCAAACCCCGUGUCUAUUGGGGAUGGAGGAGGGGCAAAUGGGGCUAUCGUCCAUGCCUGAAGGCCUCUUUGACAAAUCAGGACGGUGCACGAGCACAAAGGAUAGGAGGGUGACAGGCAAGAUCCUGGCAGAGAAUCGGGGCAACAAGGGAGCUUGUAAGCUCAACGGCGAGGGGGUAGCCGACUAAUGACACCCGCAGCCACCUAAGGAGGGGACACCCUACCAGCACAGGGGACGAGGCGAUGAACUGGGGCGGGGCGGGAUGGCGGCGGAGAAAACCAUGGCCGCCAGGGACCUUUUGAGCUUGGCGAUGGGGUCGUUGCGAGCAGUGGAGGCGAACUGGGUGAGGAGGUCAAGGGCAGGCGCGAUUUAAUUAGGUAUACGAUGCAGGCGAGCAAUUAUUGGGAUGGGUCAUGAAUAAUGGUCUGUUUAAUUAGAG